UCGCCAGACUCCUACGGGAGGCAGCAGUGAGGAAUAUUGGUCAAUGGGCGUAAGCCUGAACCAGCCAAGUCGCGUGAGGGACGACGGCCCUACGGGUUGUAAACCUCUUUUGCCGGGGGACAAACGGCGGCACGCGUGCCGUCCUGAGGGUACCCGGAGAAAAAGCAUCGGCUAACUCCGUGCCAGCAGCCGCGGUAAUACGGAGGAUGCGAGCGUUAUCCGGAUUUAUUGGGUUUAAAGGGUGCGCAGGCGGAAGAUCAAGUCAGCGGUAAAAUUGAGAGGCUCAACCUCUUCGAGCCGUUGAAACUGGUUUUCUUGAGUGAGCGAGAAGUAUGCGGAAUGCGUGGUGUAGCGGUGAAAUGCAUAGAUAUCACGCAGAACUCCGAUUGCGAAGGCAGCAUACCGGCGCUCAACUGACGCUCAUGCACGAAAGUGUGGGUAUCGAACAGGAUUAGAUACCCCUGUAAG
rnacentral:rRNA from 1 species